rnacentral:rRNA from 1 species
UUUAAAUUGAGAGUUUGAUCCUGGCUCAGGAUGAACGCUGGUGGCGUGCCUAAUACAUGCAAGUCGUACGCUAGCCGCUGAAUUGAUCCUUCGGGUGAAGUGAGGCAAUGACUAGAGUGGCGAACUGGUGAGUAACACGUAAGAAACCUGCCCUUUAGUGGGGGAUAACAUUUGGAAACAGAUGCUAAUACCGCGUAACAACAAAUCACACAUGUGAUCUGUUUGAAAGGUCCUUUUGGAUCGCUAGAGGAUGGUCUUGCGGCGUAUUAGCUUGUUGGUAGGGUAGAAGCCUACCAAGGCAAUGAUGCGUAGCCGAGUUGAGAGACUGGCCGGCCACAUUGGGACUGAGACACUGCCCAAACUCCUACGGGAGGCUGCAGUAGGGAAUUUUCCGCAAUGCACGAAAGUGUGACGGAGCGACGCCGCGUGUGUGAUGAAGGCUUUCGGGUCGUAAAGCACUGUUGUAAGGGAAGAAUAACUGAAUUCAGAGAAAGUUUUCAGCUUGACGGUACCUUACCAGAAAGGGAUGGCUAAAUACGUGCCAGCAGCCGCGGUAAUA